rnacentral:rRNA from 1 species
UACGAAGGGGGCUAGCGUUGUUCGGAAUCACUGGGCGUAAAGCGCACGUAGGCGGAUCUUUAAGUCAGGGGUGAAAUCCCGAGGCUCAACCUCGGAACUGCCUUUGAUACUGGGGAUCUCGAGUCCGGGAGAGGUGAGUGGAACUGCGAGUGUAGAGGUGAAAUGCGUAGAUAUCGAGAGGAACACCUGCGGCGAAGGCGGGUUGCUGGGCCGACACUGACGCUGACAGCGCGAAAGCUAGGGGAGCGAACGGG